UAAUUUCAUGUAUAUAGUUAUGAGGCUAAAAAUGUGUCUUCUGGGCUUAAAACUCUCCAGGAGCAGAGGGGCAGUUCACACCUCAUCAGAGCAUGUAUGAGACAAACCCAGCCCAGCCUCAAAGGAACAAAGGACACUGGCCUAGGCAGCAACAAAGGAUCUGUUGGACUCUCCAUCUGUGACAGGGUGUACCAGGCAUUCACUGACCCCUGCUGGAAGCCCCACUCUCUUUUCACACCCUGCCCUAAGAAAGUGUUCUGCUGGAAGAGAAAAGCAGCAAGUUCAGACAUCAAGGGGAUGCACAGACGCCCUCCCUGGCAGGCGGCAGACCAUUGUGGAACUAGGACACAGGGGGGCGCUAGAGAGGAAGAGUCCCUGCGAUGCUGUGCCCUGACACAACUGGGCGCUCUGGUGGUGAGUGCACACUAUAACACAAUCCAUAAAUGGGAAUCCUCUGGGAUCCUAUUCUUCAGCAUCACUCUCAAAAGACCUCAGGAGAGCUGGGUGCAGCUCCUUCCGCCUUCCAAAGAGGCUCACUCAAGCAAUGAGAGACUAUCCUUCCUGACUGUGCCUGAGUAUCUCUUGCCUUGCAUCUUGUGUAAGUCAGUUCCACCUGUGCAAACUGGAUGCAAAAUGCUACCUGGUUAGCAUUUCCCACUCACUUGUACCAAUGAGCAGCAUUUUACAUCAACUUUUCACAGGUGUAACCACUCCUACAAGGCACAAUGCAGCAGAGAGUCAGGCCCACUGCUUCAACAGUACCCCUAACUGACGGCUUGCUGGGCUGUCCUUACAAAUUGUGGCACCCCAUGCAAGAAUCCUAACCUGCUUAAGAGGGAGGAGUGAAUCUGGGCCAAGUGUAUCUUCUCCUUUGUUCUCAUUACUUGUCAUUUCUAUAUUUUACUCCUGAAGACAGUGGCAAAACUCUGACUUUAAUGAAAACAGGAACAGACCCUUUGGGAAUUAGGAAAAUGCUCAACACCUGAGCACAGGUCACCCUGAUUUGUCUUUUUGUGAUAGCAAUUACUUGUAGAUUUCAUGCUUUUCUUAAAAAUAAUCAGAGACUUUUUUAAAAAAAA
rnacentral:lncRNA from 1 species